rnacentral:rRNA from 1 species
GACGAACGCUGGCGGCGUGCUUAACACAUGCAAGUCGAACGGAAAGGCCCUGCUUUUGUGGGGUGCUCGAGUGGCGAACGGGUGAGUAACACGUGAGUAACCUGCCCUUGACUUUGGGAUAACUUCAGGAAACUGGGGCUAAUACCGGAUAGGAGCUCCUGCUGCAUGGUGGGGGUUGGAAAGUUUCGGCGGUUGGGGAUGGACUCGCGGCUUAUCAGAUUGUUGGUGGGGUAGUGGCUUACCAAGGCUUUGACGGGUAGCCGGCCUGAGAGGGUGACCGGCGACAUUGGGACUGAGAUACGGCCCAGACUCCUACGGGAGGCAGCAGUGGGGAAUAUUGCACAAUGGGCGGAAGCCUGAUGAAGAAACGCCGCGUGCGGGAUGACGGCCUUCGGGUUGUAAACCGCUUUCGCAUGUGACGAAGCGUGAGUGACGGUAAUGGGUAAAGAAGCACCGGCUAACUACGUG